CACCAACUGUGCUAUGUUUGAAAAGCAUGAAGAAGGCUUCCCAAUGGAAGAAAUUCUGCAAUUGACUGAAACUCAAAAGAAAAGCAGCUUUUUAAAGAAAACCCAAAAAGAGAAGCAGGAGAAACCAUGGCAAGUGUACUGGCAGCCUCAGAACACAGGCCUGGCACCUGUCAGCCUUGAGCGGCACCUGGGCAAGGACCCCCAACUCCUAGCAGAACAGGUAAUUUCAUGGACAGAAAUGGCUCAGCCCAAGAUUAGUGAAAUAAAAGUGAACUUCCAGGAGUGAAGAGAAUGGGUUUACAUGCGUCUAGCAUUCUAUUUCUCACUGUUUUAUCUCUGAUUAUAAAAUUUACAGGAUGUACCUGUGUAAACAGGAAUGAAAUAUGCUUUC
rnacentral:lncRNA from 1 species